CAGUGAGUCAGUCAGAUAGUACAUUAUCGCGGACGGUGAGAAAGGCGGUGCCAUAGGUGUUUCUCUUCUCGUCGUCUUCCUAAUUGCUCCCUGACGGCACUUUUCACAAAACAUUUAGAAAUUGGAUGUUGAAAUGGAUGGAUGGGUGGACUGUUUUAAGGAUUGCUGAAACAAAUGCUUUACAAAUAAACAAACAAAUUUAAGGCGGAUCGCAUAAUGCUUUAUAGAUUCAUAUGAAUAGACACUUGAUUGUGGAUGAGAGGGAUGUGGAGGGGGAGGGAUGCGGUGAGGGAGAGAGACAUAUGUAAGGCAACGUAACAACAAUGGUGAAUAAAAGCGAAAAAUACAUAAAAUAAA